rnacentral:rRNA from 1 species
AACGAACGCUGGCGGCAGGCUUAACACAUGCAAGUCGAGCGCCCCGCAAGGGGGAGCGGCAGACGGGUGAGUAACGCGUGGGAAUCUACCCAUCUCUACGGAAUAACGCAUGGAAACGUGUGCUAAUACCGUAUACGUCCUUCGGGAGAAAGAUUUAUCGGAGAUGGAUGAGCCCCCGUUGGAUUAGCUAGUUGGUGGGGUAAAGGCCUACCAAGGCGACGAUCCCUAGCUGGCCUGAGAGGAUGAUCAGCCACACUGGGACUGAGACACGGCCCAGACUCCUACGGGAGGCAGCGGUGGGGAAUAUUGGACAAUGGGCGCAAGCCUGAUCCAGCCAUGCCGCGUGAGUGAUGAAGGCCCUAGGGUUGUAAAGCUCUUUCACCGGUGAAGAUAAUGACGGUAACCGGAGAAGAAGCCCCGGCUAACUUCGUGCCAGCCGCCUCAGUAAUAC